GACGAACGCUGGCGGUAUGCCUAACACAUGCAAGUCGAACGAGAUUCCUUUUUUGUUUACAAAGAUGGAAUUGCAGUGGCGGACGGGUGAGGAACACGUAAGAACUUACCUUUUGGCGGGGGAUAACAACGGGAAACUGUUGCUAAUACCCCAUAAUGCUGAGAAGCGAAAGGGAAACUGCCAAGAGAGAGGCUUGCGUCUGAUUAGCUAGUUGGUGGAGGUAAAGGCUCCCCAAGGCGACGAUCAGUAGCUGGUCUGAGAGGAUGAUCAGCCACACUGGGACUGAGACACGGCCCAGACUCCUACGGGAGGCAGCAGUGGGGAAUUUUCCACAAUGGGCGAAAGCCUGAUGGAGCAAUACCGCGUGAGGGAUGAAGGAUCGUGGUUCGUAAACCUCUUUUCUUAAGGAAGAAAUCAAUGACGGUACUUAAGGAAUAAGCACCGGCUAACUCCGUGCCAGCAGCCGCGGUAAUAC
rnacentral:rRNA from 1 species